GAUUUCAACUGAAAAAGUCAUCAACAUUAAAGUUGUAUAACUCAUCAAUAUCUAUAAGUUUUAUUUUGGUCAUUUCUUCAUGUGAUAAAGUGAUCUGUAACAUUGUUCACAAAAUGUACAUAUCUCUUGUAUAAAAUAUAGGAGAGACAUGUAAAUUUUAAGAACAAUGUUACUGUCGCUUUGUCCGAUGAAUAAAUAACCAAAAUAAAAGUUAUAGAUAUUGAUGAGUUAUAUAACUUUGAUGUUGAUGACUUUUUCAGUUGAAGUC
rnacentral:pre_miRNA from 1 species